UUAGGCUUAAAAUUCUACCGAAUUUCGAACAGUAGUUUACUCAACAGUAUAAAUUUAUAUCGUAGAAAAAGAAAAUAAAAAUAUCUUUUAGACCAGAAAAAUAUCUAUGUUAUUAAAAUUAAUGAAAAAUAAAAUGAAAGAUUAGAGAUAAGCAUGCAUUUAAUUUUAAGAUAAGAACUACACCUAUGCAUUACAAGGUGGCUAAUUUUUCUUCACAAAUUGAAAGUGAAAACGUGGACUGAGAAUUUACCAUGUAGCAGUAGAAUUAGAAAUCUAUAAAUAGGGUCUUAACAUUCACUUUUUACACACAAUUAUCACUCUCACAACUCACAAAAAGCUAGGAAUUUCAAUUAAGGUAUCCUAGAUGAAGGUGAUUGCUCGAGUUAUUUUGGAAAGCUUCAAGGUAAGGGGAAUCGCUAAUAAUAAGUUUCGAUGGGCACAAGAAAUGUGUUACUUGUAUAUAUAUUAUUAGUUAUAACUAGGGGUGUUGUGUACUUUAUAUAGUAAUUUAUAUUCAUUAAGGUAUAUGCAAAAUGUUAAAUGAUGAGUGAUUGAUUUUAGUUUGAUUAUAUGUGUGAAUAAAUCUUCUGCAAUAUAUGAGUUGAAAAUGUUCAUGUGUUUGAGUGUUAUGGUGAAAAAUUGAGGUUAACUCUCAUAAGUUGUAUGGUGAGUUUUGAGGAUUAAUAUGUCAAGUUGAUAUUGACAAAGAAAAUUUAAGUUGAAAAGUUGAACAUAUAAUCACCUUUGAUAGGUGAAGAGCAAAACAGGGUGUUUCUUACAGUACUAUAAUGUAUGUAAGACUGAGGAUAGGUUCGGCUGGGUCGCCUCAAGACCUAAUGGGGAUCACCGGCGUUUUGAACUCCUACCAAUAGUCAGAGAUAGCCACUCUGACUGGAGGAAAUCAUACAACCCGACGUGGUGAAACCUGACUGUGCAGGACUAUCUAUAAUAAGGUGUAGCGCUCGGGCCAGAAUGGUUGAGACAUAUUUGAUAUAUGUUGAUUUGCAAACGACCAUGUUAUGGCAGUUGAAACGGCCUUACGCUCAUACUAGAGGUCUCCAUGGAGUAGGUUGAAUAAAGAUAAUACUGACCAAAUUAGAAGACUAACUUCGAGUGAAGAAUUAUGAUUAGAUUUUGUAUAUAUUUUAAAUGAUUCAAUUUCGAUGUUUGAUAUAUUUGAUAAUUGUUAUAUUUGGCGAUUGAUAUAUUUGAUUUUCAUUGUCUGACUAAUUGUUGAUUAGUGAUGAUGAUAUAAUGUUUGUGUAAUUCACUUUGUGAUUAUUUGACUAUAUGUGACUAUUUGACUACUUGAUUCUAUUUAAUUAAAUAUAUGAUUAGAUACUCAGGUAUGUAUAUAUACUAUUAAAUAAAAAUGUAUAUACUUGUAUAAUAUUAUGUGUAGCCUUGUGACAUCAUCACGAUGGUAACUUGUGUACGAGUGAUUCACCCCUUACAACAGUUAGUGCAGGAUUCUAAGGCCUCAAGUUGAAGUUCAUUGAGAAAAGGAAAACGUGAUUGUGAGAGACAUUAAUUAUAAUACAAGGACCGUUAGUGUUGAUUAGUGAUCUAGUUUAUUUUUGGAGUCCGAAGAGAAAGAUCUCUUUGAUAUGUAUUGAUGACGUUAUUGGAGUACUCCCUAGGUGACAUGUAUCUUAGUGUUUGACCAGCUUGUGAUCAUUUGUGGGUUAGAGUCUUUUGUAGGAAUUUAUCUUUUAUUAUUUCAUAUUGAAAAAUUGUAAGAUAAUUAUGUGAAAUGAAAAUGUUUUAUAUUUGAAAA